rnacentral:rRNA from 1 species
AUUGAACGCUGGCGGCAGGCUUAACACAUGCAAGUCGAGCGGGGUGAUGGUGCUUGCACUAUCACUUAGCGGCAGACGGGUGAGUAAUGCUUAGGAAUCUGCCUAUUAGUGGGGGACAACAUCUCGAAAGGGAUGCUAAUACCGCAUACGCCCUACGGGAGAAAGCAGGGGAUCCCUUGUGACCUUGCGCUAAUAGAUGAGCCUAAGUCGGAUUAGCUGGUUGGUGGGGGAAAGGCCUACCAAGGCGACGAUCUGUAGGGGGUGUGAGAGGAUGAUCAGCCACACUGGGACUGAGACACGGCCCAGACUCCUACGGGAGGCAGCAGUGGGGAAUAUUGGACAAUGGGGGGAACCCUGAUCCAGCCAUGCCGCGUGUGUGAAGAAGGCCUUAUGGUUGUAAAGCACUUUAAGCGAGGAGGAGGCUCUUUUGGUUAAUACCCAAGAUGAGUGGACGUUACUCGCAGAAUAAGCACCGGCUAACUCUGUGCCAGCCGCCGCCGUAA